UGACCUACGGGAGGCAGCAGUGGGGAAUAUUGGGCAAUGGGCGCAAGCCUGACCCGGCAACGCCGCGUGAAGGAAGAAGGCUUUCGGGUUGUAAACUUCUUUUCUCAGGGACGAAGCAAGUGACGGUACCUGAGGAAUAAGCCACGGCUAACUACGUGCCAGCAGCCGCGGUAAUACGUAGGUGGCAAGCGUUAUCCGGAUUUACUGGGUGUAAAGGGCGUGUAGGCGGGAAAGCAAGUCAGAUGUGAAAUCCUGCGGCUUAACCGCAGAACGGCAUUUGAAACUGUUGAUCUUGAGUACUGGAG
rnacentral:rRNA from 1 species